AUGACCGAAUGGUAACACACAUACUAAAAUUGGAACAAUAAAAAGAGAGGAUUAACAUGGCCCCUGUGUAAGGCUGACAUGCAAAUUCGAGAAACAUUCCAUAUUUUU
ensembl:snRNA U6 U6 spliceosomal RNA